UUGAUCCUGGCUCAGGGUGAACGCUGGCGGUGUGCCUAAGACAUGCAAGUCGAACGAGAAUUAUGUCUUACACUUAAUCUCUUAAGGAUGAGUUUCGUUGUCAGCCGCUCUUAAUCGAGUCGGAGAGAUGCCGAAUAUCCUUAGGAGGUUGAAUGUAAGACGUAAGGACAGUGGCGAACGAGUGAGUAAUAGAUACGAACAUGCUCCGAAGUGGGACAUAGCCUCGCGAAAGUGGGUGUAAUUUCCCAUGUUAUCCCGAUUUAUCGGGAUCAAAGACGCAAGUCGCUUUGGAAAUGGCGUAUCCGCUAUCAGCUUGUUGGUAAGGUAAUGGCUUACCAAGGCUAUGACGGCUACCGGCUCUUAGUGGAGAGUCCGGCACGAUGGGACUGAGACACGGCCCAUACACCUACGGGUGGCAGCAGUUAGGAAUAUUGCGCAAUGGACGAAAGUCUGACGCAGCGACACCGCGUGCGGGAUGACAGCCUUCGGGUUGUAAACCGCUUUUCUUUUAUCGUCAAGUUAUUAGGAAUAAGCAACUACUAACUACGUGCCAGCAGUUGCGGUAAUACGUAGGUUGCAAGCGUUACCCGGUUUUAUUGGGCGUAAAGGGUCUGUAGGCGGUUUUUCAGUCCUGUUUCAAAGACUUCGGCUUAACUGAAGGAAGGGAUGGGAUACUGGGAGACUUGAGUGGUACCGAGGCUACUGGAAUUUAUAGUGUAGGGGUAAAAUCCGUGGAUACUAUAAAGAACACCAAGGGCGAAAGCUGGUAGCCAGGUGCAUACUGACGCUGAGAGACGAAAGCUAGGGUAGCAAAUCAGAUUAGAGACCUGAGUAGUCCUAGCCGUAAACUAUGUCUGCUAAUCCCGCGAUUUUUUGUGAGAUGCUAGCUAACGCGUUAAACAGACCGCCUGGGGAGUAUAGCCGCAAGGCCGAAGCUCAAACGAAUUGGCGGGGAGGCGCACAACCAGUGGAGCAUGUGGUUUAAUUCGAUACGAAGCGAUAAACCUUACCCGGGUUUGAAAUGUACCUGCAAGCCCCCAGAAACGGGGGAAUCUUUCGAAGGUGGUACACAGCUGUUGCAUGGCUGUCGUCAGCUCGUGACGUGAGUUGUUCUCUUAAGUGAGGUAACGAGCGCAACCCCUAUCGUAUGUUACUGUAUCAUACGAGACUGCCUAGCAUUAUUUUGUUAGGAGGAAGGAGGGGACGACGUCAAGUCAUCAUGAUGCUUAUAUCCGGGGCUACACACAUCCUACAAUGGGUUGUACAGAGGGUUGCAAUACCGCAAGGUGGAGCUAACCCCUAAAACAUCCCUCAGCUGGGAUUGCAGGCUGAAAUUCGACUGCAUGAACUUGGAAUUGGUAGUAAUCGCGGAUCAGCAGGCCGCGGUGAAUACGUUCUCGCCUCUUGCACACACCGCCCGUAAU
rnacentral:rRNA from 1 species